rnacentral:rRNA from 1 species
ACGAUGAGCCUUUCGGGGUGGAUUAGUGGCGAACGGGUGAGUAACACGUGGGCAAUCUGCCCUUCACUCUGGGACAAGCCCUGGAAACGGGGUCUAAUACCGGAUAAUACUUCUGCCUGCAUGGGUGGGGGUUGAAAGCUCCGGCGGUGAAGGAUGAGCCCGCGGCCUAUCAGCUUGUUGGUGAGGUAGUGGCUCACCAAGGCGACGACGGGUAGCCGGCCUGAGAGGGCGACCGGCCACACUGGGACUGAGACACGGCCCAGACUCCUACGGGAGGCAGCAGUGGGGAAUAUUGCACAAUGGGCGAAAGCCUGAUGCAGCGACGCCGCGUGAGGGAUGACGGCCUUCGGGUUGUAAACCUCUUUCAGCAGGGAAGAAGCGCAAGUGACGGUACCUGCAGAAGAAGCGCCGGCUAACUACGUGCCAGCAGCCGCGGUAAUACGUAGGGCGCAAGCGUUGUCCGGAAUUAUUGGGCGUAAAGAGCUCGUAGGCGGCUUGUCGCGUCGGUUGUGAAAGCCCGGGGCUUAACCCCGGGUCUGCAGUCGAUACGGGCAGGCUAGAGUGUGGUAGGGGAGAUCGGAAUUCCUGGUGUAGCGGUGAAAUGCGCAGAUAUCAGGAGGAACACCGGUGGCGAAGGCGGAUCUCUGGGCCAUUACUGACGCUGAGGAGCGAAAGCGUGGGGAGCGAACAGGAUUAGAUACCCUGGUAGUCCACGCCGU